UUACGUGUCCUCUUACGGGGCUUUGCAUGGUUCUAGAUUGCCUUUCAUUAUUCCCUGAAAGUGUGAAAAAUCUGCUAGGCUGUAUUUUGUUUUAUUUGGUUUCAGUCGUAUAAAGAAAACACCAGUUGAUUGGUGUUCUUUAUUAAAGCGGUAAAGUGUAUUCAAUGUAAUUUACUAAAAGUCAUUAAAUUCAAACUUCAGCACAGAUAGAAUUGUCCUAUUGGAUCAACCAGCUGCUGGCAUAUAUGGAGGUUUGGGAAGGAGCGACGUAGUGGGAUGGAAAGGGAUAAUGUUAGGUUUUGAGGCAAAACAACUACCAGUCUUCAUCUUUAAAGCAUUUGAGUAAAUACAUGCAAACGGGGACAUGCAUUAUUGGUGAUACUUGACCCUCACUAUUUCCCAUAAAACGUUCUUCUAUUCAAAAUAUAGGAACACAACGAUUUAGGGAGCGAAAGUCCAGAACUACUUCCAAAAUGUACAAAACGCCUUACAAGCUAAUCAAUAAAGUCCAUAACUGAAGGUUAUCAUCAUUAGUCUUGUAACCUUUUUUUUCAAAAAUAAAAACAAAGUUUUGUUUUUGAAAGACCUGGAAGCUGAUUCUUUGUAUUUAAUGAAUGGCAAGGCACCCAGUUGUACAGUUUACAAUGGUUUACUCAUGAAAUUGUUUCUGGUUCUAUUCCGCUGGCUUGUUUUUAAAGUCCGGCGCGUUCCAUUCAAGUGUUCUGAUCACAGGUUUCAGCUCUGAGACCACGGGAAUCUCGGCAGUUCCAAGAAAAGCAGCAUGGAGCAGUCAGCUGUGGCCAAGGGCUCUCAUCCUAAACUUGUCAAGUGGUGAGAACGGAAAUAGAAAAACAACAAUCUCAAUAUAUUCAAUAAAAAGGUUUAUUUGUGCAGCAUUAGCUAUAACAAAUGUACUUGAAUUGCUUUUAAAAAUCGAGUUAACUAAAUGCAUUAGAAAUGAUAAAAAGUUAUAUAAUGGUCAAUUACUUGUAUUUUUGGAUAACAAUGUUUUUAAAGAUUUUUUUUUUGUUGCGCACAAAAUCCGAAUUAUGGGUAAAUUCAGUGUUUAAACUAUAAUAUUGGCAUCAUUGGUCCUUAGACAUUCAAAGAGUUACAAAUAGGCAUGCACAGCAAAUCAACGAGCCAUCUCUACGUUACAAAAUAUCUUGUAGAAAGUGAAAUGAUAUGUGUAUCCCCGGAAUAAAACAAAUAUGUAUUUCUAUAGUGCAGAACUACAUCGGAACGGUUACCCCUCGUGAAAUAAAGAAUUAUUAUACAUCUCUUGAAACUUGUUUUUUGAUUUAGCCCUGGAUCAAAAAUUCCGCACCCAAAUCAUGCCCAAUUUUUUGGUAAUAAAAACAGUUUUAACCCACAGGAAGUGGAGACUCCAGAAGCCGUUAUUGUGAAUGACGAUCACACUGCACGUCUCAUCUAGUCUCACUUUCUUUGAAUCUGUGAGGACACAUACAUACUUUUGGUUUCCAGUAGAAAGUAAGCAUUGUAUUUGCAGGGGGGGUUUUUUAAAAAUUAUUUGGCCACUUCCAUUAUUCCGAGUGGAAAGGUUUUCCAACGUUAUUUUUGCAAUAAUGGGAAAAGAUCAGGCAAACAUAUUUUAGGGCACCUGUAAAUCUGCAAUUCUUCCCGUUUCAUACAGCAAGCUAUGGCACGGAUGUAAGUCACAGAUUUGUGGCUGUAAUUUCAAGUCCAACAAUAGUUUGUAUAGUUUAUAUCACAUUAUGAAAAACCACUGAAAACUAAAGUGUCAUUGCAUCUUUAUAGAAAAUGAUCAAGUUAUCUCAAUAUGAGUUUUAAUACUUACAUUUUUUUUACUGUACUAAAAUUCUAAUUCCUCAUUCUAGCAAUGUUUUGUUGAGACAUUUAUAUUGUACUCUCUUUUUUAUAGGUUACUUGAGCAUUUUUAUGUCUGUGAAGGUUGGAGCAUUCCUCGCAGUCUCAUUUAUCAGUUCUACCUGGAAUAUUGUAAGCACAACAGAUUAAAUCCAAUAAAUGCAGCUACCUUUGGAAAGCUCGUUCGUUCAGUAUUUACUGAUUUGAGAACUAGACGAUUGGGAACAAGAGGAUGUGCAAGAUAUCACUAUGAGGGAAUACGCGUGAGACCACAUUCUCCUCUGUAUGGUCAGUACUCCUCCCUCAUGACCAAUAAGCAGUUUGAAAGCUUAGACUUUUCUAAUUUGGAAGGAGAAAGUUUAUUUACCAUCAGUAAUAAAUGC